rnacentral:rRNA from 1 species
UUGCUCUUCAACGAGGAAUGCCUAGUAAGCGCAUGUCAUCAGCAUGCGUUGAUUACGUCCCUGCCCUUUGUACACACCGCCCGUCGCUACUACCGAUCGAAUGGCUCAGUGAGGCGUUCGGACUGGCUUAGGGAGGUCGGCAACGACCACCCGGAGCCGGAAAGUUCGUCAAACUUGGUCAUUUAGAGGAAGUAAAAGUCGUAACAAGGUUUCCGUAGGUGAACCUGCGGAAGGAUCAUUACUGAGAACCGGCGCCCUCGUGGCCCGACCCUCAAACCACCGAGUACCUUACCCCAACGUUGCCUCGGCGGGCGCGGCCUCGCGCCGCCCCGCCGGUGGACAAAACCAUAACAGCUUUGUAUGACGAUUGUCUGAUAUUACUCUUCGCGAAUGCGAUAAAGUACAACUUUCAACAAUGGAUCUCUUGGCUCCGGCAUCGAUGAAGAACGCAGCGAAAUGCGAUAACUAGUGUGAAUUGCAGAUUUCAGUGAAUCAUCGAGUCUUUGAACGCACAUUGCGCCCCCUGGUAUUCCUAGGGGCAUGCCUAUUCGAGCGUCGUUUCCACCCUCAAGCGCAAGCUUGGUGUUGGGGAUCGCCCCUCCCUCGCGGAGGCUGGCGUCCCUCGAAUCCAUCGGCGGUGCCGGUGCGGCCCUGAGCGCAGCAGCGAUGCAGCUCGAGGGUCCGCUCGACACGUGCCGCGAACGGCAGCGGAGACGCGGCCACGCUUCAAACGUCGACCUCGAAUUAGGUAGGGAUACCCGCUGAACUUAAGCAUAUCAAUAAGCGGAGGA